rnacentral:rRNA from 1 species
GUGAAUGCGCGGCAUGCUUACCAUGCAGUCGAACGGGAUCCAUCAGGCUUUGCUUGGUGGUGAGAGUGGCGAACGGGUGAGUAAUGCGUGACCGACCUGCCCCAUACACCGGAAUAGCUCCUGGAAACGGGUGGUAAUGCCGGAUGCUCCGACUCCUCGCAUGGGGUGUCGGGAAAGAUUUCAUCGGUAUGGGAUGGGGUCGCGUCCUAUCAGGUAGUCGGCGGGGUAACGGCCCACCGAGCCUACGACGGGUAGCCGGCCUGAGAGGGCGACCGGCCACAUUGGGACUGAGAUACGGCCCAGACUCCUACGGGAGGCAGCAGUGGGGAAUAUUGCACAAUGGGCGCAAGCCUGAUGCAGCGACGCCGCGUGCGGGAUGACGGCCUUCGGGUUGUAAACCGCUUUUGAUCGGGAGCAAGCCUUCGGGUGAGUGUACCUUUCGAAUAAGCACCGGCUAACUACGUGCCAGCAGCCGCGGUAAUACGUAGGGUGCAAGCGUUAUCCGGAAUUAUUGGGCGUAAAGGGCUCGUAGGCGGUUCGUCGCGUCCGGUGUGAAAGUCCAUCGCUUAACGGUGGAUCUGCGCCGGGUACGGGCGGGCUGGAGUGCGGUAGGGGAGACUGGAAUUCCCGGUGUAACGGUGGAAUGUGUAGAUAUCGGGAAGAACACCAAUGGCGAAGGCAGGUCUCUGGGCCGUUACUGACGCUGAGGAGCGAAAGCGUGGGGAGCGAACAGGAUUAGAUACCCUGGUAGUCCACGCCGUAAACGGUGGAUGCUGGAUGUGGGGCCCGUUCCACGGGUUCCGUGUCGGAGCUAACGCGUUAAGCAUCCCGCCUGGGGAGUACGGCCGCAAGGCUAAAACUCAAAGAAAUUGACGGGGGCCCGCACAAGCGGCGGAGCAUGCGGAUUAAUUCGAUGCAACGCGAAGAACCUUACCUGGGCUUGACAUGUUCCCGACAGCCGUAGAGAUAUGGCCUCCCUUCGGGGCGGGUUCACAGGUGGUGCAUGGUCGUCGUCAGCUCGUGUCGUGAGAUGUUGGGUUAAGUCCCGCAACGAGCGCAACCCUCGCCCUGUGUUGCCAGCACGUCAUGGUGGGAACUCACGGGGGACCGCCGGGGUCAACUCGGAGGAAGGUGGGGAUGACGUCAGAUCAUCAUGCCCCUUACGUCCAGGGCUUCACGCAUGCUACAAUGGCCGGUACAACGGGAUGCGACACGGCGACGUGGAGCGGAUCCCUGAAAACCGGUCUCAGUUCGGAUUGGAGUCUGCAACCCGACUCCAUGAAGGCGGAGUCGCUAGUAAUCGCGGAUCAGCAACGCCGCGGUGAAUGCGUUCCCGGGCCUUGUACACACCGCCCGUCAAGUCAUGAAAGUGGGUAGCACCCGAAGCCGGUGGCCUAACCCUUUGUGGAUGGAGCCGUCUAAGGUAGACUCAUCG